UAAUUUUUAAUUUCCACAAGUUCAACUCCAGCAAGUAGAAUUAGUCUUUAUUUUAUUUUUUGACUUCAAAUCAACUAUGUCUGGCUAAGUAAUCUCUCUGGGGUUUGCGAUGAAGCUAGAUUGUGAAUAAAAAUCUGCUCUAUUCAAUUUUUCUUUUCGAGCUUUUAAAUUUUUAGAAUCCUUCUCCCUUCAUCUCUCUCGCCAAGAGACUUGAUGGGCUAUCGUUGGGUCAGAAUCCAUUCAUAGUCCAUACUUGAUUCGGUGUAAGAGGGGAUGAUUGAUAGAAGGAUCAUAAUUUUCUAAAUCAUUUCUUCUCUUUCCAUGUGGAAACCUUGAUGGGUUAUAGUUGGGUCAGAAUCCCUUCAUAGCUUAUACUUGGAUAACACAAGAGAAGUGAAGAAAAGAAGGGUCUCUUAAUUAGGGUGAGAACAAAAUGUUUGAUGAAUCAUAGUUGAGUUAAAUCUCUUCAUGAUCCAUGCUUGUUCAUGUUUUACACCUUGAUCAAGAGACAUUAUAAGAGAAAUCAUAGGAAGGCUCUCUAAUUCAUUGAUCUAGUGGAUUCAAGAGCCCUAGAUCUUUUCGAUAAUUUACCUUUAUAAUUAAUUAGUUUAUUGCUUUGGUAGUUCAUAAUUCAACAAACAAUCUCUUCUCUUUUUCUC
rnacentral:lncRNA from 1 species